UCCAAACUUAUGAGAGAUUAUCGCCCAGAUAUUUCCGCUGUGGAAAUAGGUCUUAAUCAUUUUAAUGACACUUUAAUGACUCACUUUUGGAAGAUUCAAAAAUCCAGGAUAAAACAGUCAACCCUGAAUUCAUUUUUAAAAAAGGUGGGCAAACGCCUUCCAACUGAUGAACAUCUCACAGGACAGUCACCCAAGAUGAGUAGGAACGACAACUCUUUUCCUUUCAUCUGUAUGUAAUCGUUUUUUAAAAUGUAUAAUGUAAUGUACCGUAUAAAGAUACAAUAUAAUAAGUUUAUAUUACUAUAUUU
rnacentral:lncRNA from 1 species